rnacentral:rRNA from 1 species
AUUGAACGCUGGCGGCAUGCUUUACACAUGCAAGUCGAACGGUAACAGGCCUUCGGGUGCUGACGGGUGGCGAACGGGCGAGUAAUGCACCGGAACGUGCCCAGCGGUGGGGUUUAACGCAGCGAAAGCUGUGCUAAUACCGCAUGUGAUCGGAGCUUGAAAGCGGGGGACGAGGCAGCAAUGUUUGGCCUCGCGCCUUUGGAGCGGCCGAUGUGCGGUUUGGUAGUUGGUGGGGUAAAGGCCAACCAAGCCGCCGAUCUGUAGCUGGUCUGAGAGGACGGCCAGCGACACUGGAAGUGGGACAGGGCCCAGGGUCCUGAGGGAGGCAGCAGUGGGGAAUUUUGGGCAAUGGGGGCAAGCAUGAUCCAGCGAGGCCGCGUGCGAGAAGAAGGCCUUGGGUUUGUAAACCGCUUUUGUGGGGAACGAAAAGGCUCUGGCUAAUACCUGGGGCUGGUGACGGUACCGUAAGAAUAAGCACCGGCUAACUACGUG